rnacentral:rRNA from 1 species
GAUGAACGCUGGCGGCGUGCCUAAUACAUGCAAGUCGAGCGAACGGACGAGAAGCUUGCUUCUCUGAUGUUAGCGGCGGACGGGUGAGUAACACGUGGAUAACCUACCUAUAAGACUGGGAUAACUUCGGGAAACCGGAGCUAAUACCGGAUAAUAUUUUGAACCGCAUGGUUCAAAAGUGAAAGACGGUCUUGCUGUCACUUAUAGAUGGAUCCGCGCUGCAUUAGCUAGUUGGUAAGGUAACGGCUUACCAAGGCAACGAUGCAUAGCCGACCUGAGAGGGUGAUCGGCCACACUGGAACUGAGACACGGUCCAGACUCCUACGGGAGGCAGCAGUAGGGAAUCUUCCGCAAAGGGCGAAAGCCUGACGGAGCAACGCCGCGUGAGUGAUGAAGAUCUUCGGAUCGUAAAACUCUGUUAUUAGGGAAGAACAUAUGUGUAAGUAACUGUGCACAUCUUGACGGUACCUAAUCAGAAAGCCACGGCUAACUACGUG